rnacentral:rRNA from 38 species
CUGACCCCAUGCCGAACUCAGAAGUGAAACGCCGUAGCGCCGAUGGUAGUGUGGGGUCUCCCCAUGUGAGAGUAGGGAACUGCCAGGC